AAUAUAAGGUUACUUACAGUUCACUCUUCUAUAAAGCAGUUGAUAAUCCACUAGACGUGAUGUUAAACAAGAACUACUAUGGGCCACUCUGAAACAUAGUAGAAAAGAUAUUUUUUCAGGUACUGACAGCAUGCCUUGCUUAUCACUACUUCUAACACAUUACCAGAAAAUCUCUUAAGAUCUCCAACUAUGAAGGAGAUUUUUACUGACUUCUAUCACACUAUAAUUGUACAUAAAACCUGGAAGAUAAGCUUGGUGCUCAGAAGCCAUGCUGAUAUAUGUUUGGGGAUAGGAGGCAGGUGACAUGCCAACGUAGUUUAGUGAAAUAUUGGUCACCUCCUGGGACAAGGCUUGCUGAAGUCAAUUCUGCCUGUAGAAAAAUCUGUGGGGCUACACAAAUGCACACUAAGUAAGAAUCUAUUCAUGUUCUAAAUUUUCUAUCCUACUGACAUUCUUUUGAAAUCACACAGUGGAUGAUUGAAUUUCUUUUAUUUUUUUUUUUUUUUUACUUCACAUUAUUUGCAGGUAAAAUUUGUUGUACAAAGCAUAACGGAGAACUUAAGAAUGACCCUGUGAAGUUGCAUGGUAGAGCAUUACUUUUAUGAAGUGCUUAGGAACUGAAAGCUGCUUUUACACCCACUGACAUAACAUCAUCACAUUUCCUCUCUAACUCGCCCCCGAAACUAACAAAUGCAGACAGGAUGAUAAUUGAUGUAAUUUUGGUGAUGAAAUUAUCUAUCAUCCACCAAAAUUUAUUCAAGAGACGUUGUCAUCCUGCACUCUCUCAAAGAAACAGGAAAACAUCUUUUGUGUAGUGAUGAUAGUGUGUUCUGACAGAUAGGACAUGAAGUGACCUAACAUGUAAAUUAUAUCUGUAAUAGACUAGCCAGAGCUAUAAUAUAUACUUAAAACCAAAGCAGACCGGAUAUCAAAUUUGUCUCAGAAGGCAAAUAUUUAGGAUGGGAUGGCUCUUCUAGUCUCAUGCAGCUAUUUUUUUUUUUUUUUUGUCUUACUAAAUUUUAGCUCAGUAUAGUUACAAGAUAAACUCAGUAUAUGACAAAAGCUGGUCUGCAGACCUACAAACGAACCUCAGAGGGAAUAAGGAGGGGGGAGUCCUGCCAAACCACUCCCUGGCCCAGGUGCCACCAGCCCAUCAAAGACCCAUCAAAGGCAGAUAGGGGGACUCAAAGACUCACAGGAAGGGGCAUUCUGUCUGGGACCCUCCCAGGGUUGUGCCAGCAGAUCCAGAGCCCUGGCAUCCAGUUGUGAAACUCACCACUGUGAGACACUGGGAGCAGUUCUCUGAAACAACUUGGACUUCAGACAGUUGCUGCCUUGGCAUGAGACACAUUAUGGGAUGCAGGGAAGGACAGUUGGGAUUGUACAGGAUUUACUGUAGGAUGUUUAGGGGCAGGAUCAAAGGUAAGAAAAAAAAAAAGGAGGGAUUUAGGUCAUUUGGUAGGGAAAACUGGGGGAAACAGAGACACAAGGAAAUAAAAGGAUUAAUUUGUAUUUAAGCAAGCACUGUUGAAUGCACUUUUCUGGCCCUGCUCUGCAUUUAGAAUCACAGAAUCAUUGAAUUGUUUUUAUUGGAUGCAAUUUUAAAGACCAUCUAGUUCCCACUCUGCUGCCAUGUGUGUGGACACCUUCCACUAGGUCAAGUUGCCCAGGGCCACAUCUAAGCUGGCCUUGAGCACUUCAAGAGAUGGGACAUCCACAGCUUGUCUGGGGAACCUAUGCCAGGACCUCAUCACCCUCAUUAUGAAGAAUUUAUUUCUUAUAUCUAACUUUAACCUAUCCUCAUUUAGCUGAAAACCAUUAGCCCUUGUCCUGUCACUGCAACCCUUGAUGAAGAAUCCCCUCUUCAUCUCUCCUGUAGGUGCUCUGUAAGCACUGCAAAUGCCACUAUAACGUCUCCCCGGAGCCUUCAUGUGUCCAAGUGCCAUAAGCUGGGGAGCACAAGACCAGCUGCUGAAUGGAUCCAUCUCAUAUACAGGAUAUACACUCCCAGUGAAGGACUCACUCCACCAGGAAGGGGAAAAGGCCAGAUUUAUUUCACCUGUUGGAAGCAAUGCCUGCCACAGGAGUCCAGUGAUUGCCAUGAGAUCCUCAAUCAGUCCUGGCAACCGUAAUUUGCAUAUUUUAAAUUUCCUAUUAAAACCGUUCAAAUACAACAAUGCAUCUUAAUCCUAUCCUGUCAGUUAAGUGUUAGAUUAUGAAAGGUCAGGCAGAGUUGAGUUACAAAUGGAAGAAAGUUCUCCAACGUCCAAAUAAUGCUUUGUAU
ensembl:lncRNA